AUCAUACUAAUUAGUCGCACUUUUAGUUUAAAAUCUUAGAAUAUUACAUAUCCUUAUAAAAAUUAGGAAGUAUAUUACACACUAUAAGAAAAAAAAGUUUUAAAUAUCACAUCCCCAUGUAUAUUGUUAAUUAAUGUUAUAAAAAUUAUUUGUAUUUAAUGCUUAGAAUGUUAGAAUAUCACAUUGCUUUAAAGAAAUUACGAAAUAUAUGGCAUGCUACCGGUAUUAUAUGUUAAGAAUAUUACAUCACCCAUGUAUUUUGUUAAAAAGAAACAAACUAGAUUGUGCUUAGAAUAUUAGAAUAUCACAUCACCUUAUUAAAAUUAAAAUAUUUACUAUAUAAAGUUUAGAAUAUUACAUUAUCAAUGUAUUUUGUUUAAAAACAACAAAAUGGGUAGCGUAUAGAAUGUUAGAAUAUCGCAUAACCAUAAUAAAACUAGAAAACAUACUAGUUAAUGUUUAGAAUAUUACAACACCCAUGUAUUUUGUUAAAGAACAACAAACUAGAUUGUGCUUAGAAUGUUAGAAUAUCACAUCACCUUAAUAAAAUUAAAAUAUUCACUAUUUGAAGUUUAAAAUAUUACAUUAUCAAUUUGUUUUGUUUAAAAACAACAUACUGGAUAGUGCCUCAAAUGUAUGAACAUCGCAUCUUCUUAAAAAAACCGGAAAAUACAGUAUUACAUGUUUAAAAUAUUACAUCACCCAUGUAUUUUGUUAAAAAAUAACAAACUAGAUUGUGCUUAGAUUGUUAGAAUAUUACAUUACCUUAAUAAAAUGAAAAUAUACACCAUUUGAAGUUUAGAAUUUUACAUUAUCAAUUUAUUUUAUUUAAAAACAACAUAAUAGGUAGCGUUUAGAAUGUUAGAAUAUCGCAUCACCUUAACAAAACUAGAAAAUACACUAUUAAGUGAUUAGAAUAUUACAUCACCCAUGUAUUUUGUUAACAAACAACAUACUGGAUAGUGCUUUGAAUGUUAGAAUAUCUUAUCACCUUAACAAAACUAUAAAAUACACUAUUACAUGUUUAGAAUAUUACACCACCUAUGUAUUUUAUAAAUAAACAACAUACUAGAUAGUGCUUAGAAUGUUAGAAUAUUGCAUAACCUUAAUAAAACUAAAAAUCUUACUUUUAAAUGUUUAGAAUAUUACAUCACCAAUGUAUUUUGUUUAAAAACAACAUAUUGGAUAGUGCUUAGAAUGUAUGAAUGUCGUAUCCUCUUAAUAACACUAGAAAAUAAACUUAUAAAUGUUUAGAAUAUUACAUAACCCAUGUACUUUGUUAAAAAUCAAUAUACUGGAUAGUGCUUAGAUUGUUAGAAUAUCACAUUACCUUAACAAAACUAGAAAAUACACUAUUACAUGUUUAGAAUAUUACACCACCCACAAGUUUUGUUAAUAAACAACAUACUAGAUAGUGCUUAGAAUGUUAGAAUGUCGCAUCACGUCAAUAAAACUAGAAAAUACACUAUUAAAUGUUUAGAAUUUUACAUCACUCGUAUAUUUUCCGUACCGAAACGCAACGCAAAUGAACUCGAUGACGUUGGCAGGAACCCUGGUAAUAGUUCUUUUUCCUUGUUAACAGCCAGACACUAUGAAAUCUGAUAGCCAGGAGAUAAGGUUUAACAUUCAGUAAAGCAAUACACGUUUUGAAGCGUUCAUGACGGCCCUUGAAAAUUCAAGGGGAAAGACUGAUUUUUACGUCCAUUCAUUCUCAUAACCGCAGCAGGUGUCAUAAGUUAGUAGCUUCCAGUCCAUAGAAUAAUGUAGGUAAGAGAAGUCGGCAAAAUAGAUACGUAACUUCGGGAAAAGGAUUGGUUCUAAGGAUUGGGUCUCUCGGGCUGAGACUUGAAGCGAGUGGCACCGACAUUGGCUGGGUCGUGGCUUCUCCAGCUCACAUCGCAGGGGCUGUGGGCUGGAAUGGGAACUUAGAACUGGUACGGAAAAGGGGAAUCCGACUGUUUAAUUGUAAUAAAGCAUUGCGAUAGCCGAAAACGGUGUUGACGCAAUGUGAUUUCUGCCCAGGGCUCUGAUUGGGAAAGUGAAGAAAUUCAACCAAGCGUGGGCAAACGACGGGAGUAACUAUGACUCUCUUAAUUUAGCCUAAUGCCUCGUUAUCUAAUUAGUGACUCGCAUUAACUGACUAACUUGAUUCCCACUGUCCCAAUCUACUAUCUAGCGAGACCACAGAUAAAGUAACGGGCAUGGCAAAAUCAGCAAGAAAAGAAGGUCCAGUUGAGCUUGACUCUUGUCUGACUCAGUGAAAAAACAUAGGAGAUGUAGGAUAGGUGGGAUACAGCGAGUGAAAUACCACUACUCUUAUUGUUUUUUAACUUUAUGAUUAAGCUGAGGCUGGCUUCACAGUCCACUUUCUAGAAUUAAGCUGUGUCGAAGACACUGUCAGGUUGUGAGUUUUGCUGGAGCGGCACAUUUGUCAAAUGAUAACGCAGGUGUCCUAAGGUGAGCUCAAUAAAAACAGAAAUCUCACGUAGAACAAAAGGGUAAAUAUUCACUUGAUUUUGAUUUUCAGUAUUAAUAAAAACUGUGAAAGUAUGGCCAUUCAAUUCUUUAGUCUUUAUGAAUUUUAAGCUGGAGGUGUCAGAAAAGUUAUCACAGGGAUAACUGACUUGUAGUAGCCCAACGUUCAUAGCAACGUUGCUUUUUGAUUCUUCAAUGACGGCUUUUUCUAUCAUUGUGAAGCAGAAAUCACCAAGUGUUGAAUUGUUCACCCACUAAUAGGGAACGUGAGCUGGGUUUAGACCGCUAGGAGACAGGUUAGAUUUACCCUUCUGAUGAACUGUUGUUGUAAUAGUAAUUCUGCUGAGUAAAAAAGGAAUUAGAGAUUCAGACAAUUGGCAUUUGCACUUGAUUGAAAAGGCAAAGGUGCGAAGCUACCACUUAUUGGAUUAUGACUAAACGCCUCUAAAUCAGAAGCCGUUCUAGAAAGCAAUCAUAAUUAUGUCUGGAAGUUCUUAGGCUGGAGGGGGAAAGGUCGUGAGUCUCAAUGCACCGACUCGGAGAAAAACUGGUAAUUUAGUUUUUUAAUAAGGUAAUUUUUUUAAAUAUUAAAAUGAUGGCGAAAUUCCAAUAAUCAAUCAGCUUCAGCUUCAAUCUCAGGCUUAAAAUGUUCUAAAUA
rnacentral:rRNA from 1 species